CAGAUGGCCAGUUAAUUAUCCUUCUGCAGGCAGAAUUAUUUUAUUUAAUGAAUUUUUAAAUGUCAGUGACGUGAAAAACCAUUACUGUGGUUGUAAGUCCAUUACUCACCUUCAGCUUCUAUUUCCCAUCACCCCCCACUUUAGCUUUAAGGAGCAUCUGAAGUGACAGAGCUUUGAUUUCAGUUGAGACUGCUGAGCACAGAAGUCUUACAAGUAAUACAUUAUUAAAAAAUCGUAGCAAGAAAAUUAAUUUCUACUAUCGUAUACCAUGCUGGGUGUAUCACUUCUAACAAAUGACCUUUUUUUUCAUAUAUUCAUUGGUAGAUUUACCAGGACAAAAUAAUUACUUUGUUUUCCACCUCUAAGAAAAAAAAAAAAGUCUUGUGCGUGUGUGGUUUUCUUGUUUUGUUUUUAAUUGAAAUAAGUACACAAAGUGAAUGGGUUCUAUAAGAUAAAAAGAAAAAGGAAAGAAAAAAGAAGGAACUGGAAAACCACACAGAAAUGAGGCACUGGCUCCCUGUCAUGUUGUCUGGUCAGUAAUAUUUCUUACUGUGAAAUUCCUGCAUGUUCGCAUGUUCAUGUUUAAAUCCUCCCAGAGAGAUUUUGCAUUGGAUCCUAGUUGAACUCAAGAAGGUAGAUGGUUAUGCGGUUUCUCAUAUUUCUUGCUUUUGAGAGGAACGUCUGUUUAUCCAGAGAGCCUUAUCUGGGCUUGGCGACGAGCACAUUCCGCAGCCAGAAGAAGGACCAGACAGCUAUACUCUGGACCACCUCAUUUCAGAAUUCUGCUUGAAGCACACUAAAGACUUCAGUGAGACUUUCUGACAGCGUGUGGUAAUGAAACUACCCCAUAAGGAGAUGAAAAACAAGAUAUACUCAAUGGGAGGAGCACAUGCUUGUACUUAAAUUCUUCUGUUUCUCCUUCAGUCAGAUGGGCAAAGGAAAAUGCUGUCCUAUCCCAAGAAAUGCAAAGGCAUAAUCAAGUAUGUCUGUGCCUCUCUUGCCAUUUUGAUAUUGGGAACUCAUCCAGCUGCGAACCAAUAGUCUUAUAUGGAAGAUCAGAACUGCUGCUCCUUCGCUUCUUGAUGUAGGAUCUCUCUAUACACAAGCACUGUGCGCGAGUCUUCCCCUUAAAACUUUGAGCACUGCAUAAAUUCUGCUGGUCAAGAGGCUCAGACUGUGAUUUCAAAAGCUCUGCGUCCAAACCCAACAGCAACACAAUCAGCUCCUUUGACUGCCUUCCAUCCUGGAACCAUCCUAGGCCACGAGUCCCAGCUGAUUCACUGGGCACUGGCUGCGCCCCAGAGAGCAUCAGCUGUUACAGAACACAGGCUUCGUAUUUCCAGUCCCUGGCAACACUUACUCCUUUAUUCCAGAGAGAGGUCUCUGUUUCGUUAAAAGCUGGCUCUGGCGAUUCAGGUUUCCUCAUCUCGGAAGAUUUCAGUUACAGGUUUUGAUCUGCCAGCAUCAAAGACAUCCUCCUGUUCAGAGCAUGC
ensembl:lncRNA